CCUAGAUUUGAAUGGCGACCAUGUUGAGAAGUGGUACUUGGGUGCAGCUUUCAACUGCAUAUGGUAAAUGUUUUCUCCUAUACUUUGUUCAUUUUUAAUUCCAAAGCAUAAUCUACUUUCUGGAUAACCCUCGUACAUUUGAGGAAACAUAUAUAGGGCUAUACCAUAAGACUUCGAUGCUGUGACCACUUCUUUAGGAAUAAGCUCCAUUAAAAGAUGUAGUUAAUAUGAAUGAGGCAGACUGCACACCUUGCAGCAUUUAUGGCUGUGUAUGUGAGGGAUUUUAAACAAAAAUAUGUCUGACGACUGCAUCGACAUACAAAAAUGUACAACAGACAUUUCAUUUCUUGCUUUGUUUGCUUUGGGGAGAAUACCUACCUGGCAACCAUCUUUCUGGGUGAUCCCUUCCAUGUAAAUUUAUUUCUUUAUUACUUAGUUGAAUUAUUUCUGCCCCACUUUCCAAAUGAAUUUCCCAAAGCAGCUUAAGUCGAGAAACAAAUAUAACAAUAAUAAAAAUGCAUGACCUCCAAGGAUUACUUCCUUCCAGAAGAGCAGAGAAAGGUUGCAUGUGAAUACUGUCUCAUUCUGGAAUGCCAUCAACACUGGGCUUUCUUCAGAUAUAACAAAUGCAAAAAGGGGAUGUAGAGAAGGAUUUAAGUUCCCAAGGGUUUUCAUAGCUCCCUUGCUUUAUCUGUUGUUGUUUCUCUCUACCAGAGCAACACAAGGUGUGUUUAUGAUGCUUCACUGUCACUGUUGUGUCUUUGAAUUUGCACUGUCAAAGUAAUUUAAAAAUAUUGUUUUAGAGGGAAGCGAAAAACAUUUCCCCAGUACUUGAUUUCACGUUAAAGCAACCAUAGCUCAAUAGCAGAAUAUAUGUUUUAUGGGUAGCAGGAGAUUUGUUUGGUUCCUUAACCAUCCUUCAAAUAGGGAUGGGAAAGACUUGGUUGGCAACACUUGGGCCACCAUCUCCAGCCAUGCUUCUGUCCUGAUGAUGUUGGGAUUGCAGCCCCAGUCAACAUGAUCAAUUGUCAGGUAUGAUAGUUCCUAAAGUGGAUAUCUGGAGGACACCAUUUUGGGAAAGGGUGCACUGGAGUGGAAAUCAUGGAUGGGAAGAGUGCCGCCCACCAGGCACUUGUGACACCUAAGGCCAUUUUGAGACUAUGGGACCUCUGGUCUCCCCCAUUUGACUUCUACUCUUUGGUUGAACAAAAAGGCCUGUCCUCAUAGAAUCUUGGAGUUGCAAAGGACCACAUGAGCCAUCUAGUCCAAUCCCAUUCUGCCAUCCAGAAAUGCACAAGUAAUACACUCCUGCAAGAUGCCCAUUCAACCUCUGUUCAAAGACCUCCAAAGAUGGAGCAUUCAGUGCUCUCUAGGCUGUAUUUUCCACUGUUGAACAUCUCUUACAGGCAAAAGGUUCUUUCGAAUGUUCUAGUCUAGUGAUCUAAUAUCUGGACAUUUCUAUAUCUCCCUCCCCAACAGUCCAGGGAGAUCCCUCCAAGACAAAGCCGCUUCUCUCACCAUAAAUCUUGCGGAGUCUUUCUUUCAAAAGUUAAAUAAAAUGGCAGCCCAGUGUAUGAGUAGUCCUUCUAGGUCCCAUGGGAAUCCUGUAUACAGUACUGACACAAGAUCGAAAGUCGUUCCUCAACAUUUGCAGUUUUGACUUUGGUUGCUUUGAUUAUUUACAGAUUUGAUUAAGAUAUUCUCUCUAGGAAUCUUGAGGUCCUCCAGGAUUACUCUGAUCAACUUUCUCUAGUCAUGCUGGAGAGCACUGAGAUUUCUAAAGAGAACACCUGUCUAGGAAUUUCUAGAAGUGCAUCUACACUGUAGAAUUAAUGCAGCGUGACACCACUUUAACUGCUGUGGCUCAAUGCUAUGUAAUCCUGGGAGUUGUAGUUCGUUGAGGCACCAUCAUUUUCCUAUCAUAAUUCCAUAACACAGAAACAUGGCUGUUAAAGUGGUGUCAAAUUGCAUUAAUUCAUUCUACAGUGUAGAUGCAAGCUUGGUUCUCUAGUGCAAUUCUGUCCUAUAGAUGUUGAUCAUGGAAUUACACUGCAGGACCUUGAACUUCCUAGAGAUGUGUUCUCUUAGGGCAGUGGUUCCCAACCUGUGGGUCCCCAGAUGUUUUGCCCUUCAUCUCCUAGAAAUCCUAACAUCUGGUAAACUGGCUGGGAUUUCUGGGAGUUGUAGGCCAAAACACCUGGAGACCCACAGGUUGAAAACCACUGUCUUAAGGAAAAAAAGAAAUGUUUUCAUUUGUGUUUUUUAUUUUUACUUUGAUGGCAGUGUUGGCCCUAACACCAGUGAAUGAGGGCUGUACUGGUUAUCCAGCUAGACCGCUGCUUCUUAAACUCUGGGUCCCAACCCCAAGUGGGGUCCCCUUCAUUCAGUGUUGGGGUCAUGAAAUAUUGGGCAACUGGUAAAUGUUUUUUAAAUGCUACCCAUUUAUAGAAAUCUGUUAGGAACAAUGUGCAGUGUUAACUGUGUAUUCUUCAGAGAAUGCUCAGCUUUAUUCCACAAAAAGGAAAAUCAGUCUGAUUAGCAAGCCUUGCAAAUGCUGAUUUAUUAUCUGUAAAGUUUGAUUCUUAUACCUAUUUUUACUGCUUUAUUCUUGGGGUCAUGCAAAGAUUUCUUGGGUAGAAAGUGGUUGGAAGUGGAAAAAGUUUAAGAUGCCCUGGUCUAGACAUAAGGCCGGUUUCUUUGUUCCACUGAAGUGGAGACAGAAUUCUUUACAAUGCAGAUGCAUCCAGUUAAUGGGGAGCUUUUAAAAAUGAGAAAUCAUUACUAUUACACUAGUGGAGGGGGUUCAUGAUUCCUGGCACAGGUUUCAGUGAGAUGUUUAGGUGCCUGAAGUCUCAGAUACCCUGGGGAUUUGCUUCUGAACAACAUUGGAGCCCAGUACUGCCGCCUCCCCCUUGGGCUCCAAUGGCUAUAAAUCUGAAAUGGGAACUUCUGCUUAGAUUGAUUGUUUGGAAGCAAAGUGACAGGUUUACAGUGUGUUAAGCAACGAUUUGAGCGAACUGUGUCAGUGGCUUCUCAGAGCGCAUCUGUCUAGCCAUCUUUUCUGUGUGUUCAAGACGGCUGAAAGAACUUCUGUUGUUGGAGCCCUUUAUCAAAUGGAGCCAUAUGGGUGCUUGGAUGGCCCACGGUCUCUGGGUCAAGGAUUGUUUGCUCUAAAGAGAAUAAUGCUAAGUAGCGAUGCAUCAUCCACGUUACCAUUCUGGGUAAAUUUAGCAGCCCUUGUCAAAGUCUGUAAAUCAGCUCUCUUUGCCCUGUUAAACAGAUUCUGUUAUAUUUAGGUCUGGUUGAGCUGUGAAACAUCUCCUUCAAAUGCUCACACAGAAUCUCGUUCCUGGUCAUGCGGAAGAUUUGCGUGAAUUUCUUUUGAAGUUUGAGUAGUGAAUAUGAUAAGGAGAGGACAAGUUCACACGCUGUUACAGUAGGAGAGCCGUGGUUCGAGCGUUGGCCCAAGAGACCAAGAAUUGGAUUCACUCAGCCAUGGAAGCCCACUAGGCAACCUUGGAGAAGUCAUAAUAACUUUAUUCUUAUAUCCCGCCAAUAUCUUCCUGAAGGGACUGUUGCACCCCAAGGCAGUGUGAGCACUUGAAAACCAGAUAAGAGCCAAAAUAACACACAAUAUCUUUAUUAAAGCAAUUAUAUAUCCAGAGGAAAUUAGGUAUAGAGUCCGAGUAAGGAAUAGUUCUUUUUAGAAAGUCAAUGGUAAUUCCAGAUGGGUAAAGGAAAAGCUUCAAUAUUAUAAUCCACAAUGAGAACUCGAUAGCUCUCUCUAAGGAAGAUAGAUUGUCCAAAGAUUGAGUCAGUAUAACAGAGUUGCAAUAAGCAAAGUUCAGGUCCACUAGAAAUACUUUGUAGUAAUCCAAGGUAGCAAUGUAACAAGGCUGAGACGAAUAUUGAAUCAGGAACAAGGAAACAACUGGAUUGAAGUCCAGGUCUACUCGAGAGUCGUGGCACGACAACGGCCCGACUGGAACUGGAAACUUGGCAUGGAAACAAAUAGGAGCUGGAGACUGGAAUCCUCUCUCAAGGAAAAGCAAAGUUGACACCGCAAGAAAACUACUGGGCGAAACACUUUUAACAGAUUUCUGACUGUCCACAAUUAGGGAGUACGAACUCUCAGAACUUUCUCAUGGGAACACUAACCAUUAUACCAUCUGUUCGCUAAUCUCUGUCUCUGGCGGACUCCCUGUUUUGCACUUCGCUCUCUGGUCACAAAAUCUCUGCGAUUAAAACUCGCAUUCUCAAGCGUCUCAACAACAUCUGGCUCUAUCAGCAAAGAAGAAGUAGAAGGAUCCUCCCCAAUUAGUGAGUCUCUAAAGUCAAUCUCUCCGGGCAUCUGCAGCUGCAUAGGCCCCUCCGUAGAGGGGAAAAUGUUAGCACAGUCCUCAAAAUCAUCUGUGUCCUGCGACGAUGCGCAGCUGCGGGAAGGGGUGACUGGCUGGUUGAGGAAUUGCUACAGUACACCGUUUAUAAAAGAUGCGAUUUACACAGAAAUCAUCAAACUGAUACAAUUUAUUAAAGGGUUUAGAAUUGAUAGAGUGUGUAGGGUGGUACAGCUGCUCCUAGGCUUGUUCCUGAUCCUCUAAAGCUUUGGAAUUUCGCAACUCCAGGCCACCGGAAAAGGUUUUUAAUAAAAAGAAAACAAAAUCAUAUAUUUUCUUGUACUCUCAUGAUGAACUAUCAAUCUUUUUUUGGGUGGUGGUGGUGGCGGUGGCGUGGCUUGAUAACAGCCAACUGUAGCACCGUUCUGCAUGUGAAUCUACAAUAUUGUGCUGCAUCAUGUCAUACAAGAUAGUCAUAGUAUAAAAAGAGACAGAAAGGAUGAUGGGCAGCAGGGGUGGAAGAUUGUAUUGUGUUCCAGUAGUAUUGCUUCUGUGGUUUGAUUGUUAGCAUUGGGCUUCAAGAGGGCAAGGUUGAAGUCCCUGUUAUGCUCUGGAAACCCACUGGGUUAAAGGCAGACUCCUGUGAUAAGAGUGUUGUAAGUCAGAGUCAACAAAAAAGCACAUAACAAGGUCCACACUUUUUCCCCCUGAAUGAUGUUUGCUAUUUUGCUUCGAACCCCAGUGUUUGAAGUAUAUCGCAAUAGCCUCUUUCUUGUGCCAUUUUGGCUUCAUACCACGAAAAUUAAUUCAGUCAAUAGCAAAUACCAAUGUAUAGAUGAGAGCUAUUGCAGUGCACUGGUUUGAGUGUUGAUCUGAGAUACUGGGAAAUCAGGGUUUGGAUCCUUUCUUGUUUGUGGAAACCCACAGAAUGCCCUUGGAGUGUCAUACUCUCAGCCUCAGAGAAAGGCAAAGGCAACUCCCCACUGAACAAAUUCUGCCAUGAAAACCCCAGUAGAGUUUCAUCUUUGUGUCACCAUAAGUCAGAUAUGAUUUGAAGGCACAUAGCAGGCUUGAAAUGACUUGAAGGCAACAACAACAAUGAUAUAGAUAGCAUUUGUCUUCUCUCCAGGCAGUUGUGCCAGGUCAUUGAUGCAGUCCUUGGGACUGAAGAUCCUUAGCAAAGCCAAAAGUGUGCAUACAUGUUCGGGUCGUGUCAGUCCAGGAGAACUGGUCAAGAGUUUCUCUGAAGCAUAGGGAUGAAAUCUGCAUUUGUUGCCACUUUCCCUAUGCUCUCAGAAACGUUACUAGAACAAACACGGCAAAGUUGUCCCCGUUUGUGUUUCCUGCGGAGAUGGUUCUGUAUCCAAGUGUUUGGUGCUGCCUGCUCUGUGACCUUCAAGUAUUUUAGUUUAAACUGGCCCUAUCUCUCUUACCUCUCAGGAUUUCUUCCCCAUUAUGUAAAGCUUAUCUGAGCUUUGCAAAAGAAGAUGCAAUGCAGCCACUAACUAAUCUGACUCUGGGCUGCAAAGACCCUUUCAAGCUCCAUCAAUAAUCCCCGCCAUUGCGCGGCUUGCUUAAUGGUCUGUCCAACCUCUCCCCGGGGUUUGGGAUCUCGAAAACGUAGCCCAUUAAUUUCCAUCAUGUUUAAAUUUCCAGCAUGGACUACAAUGCCCUGGAGAGCCCAGAGUGGUUGGAAUAGAAUCGUGUGGUUAAGCAAAUGCUCCCACGAUUAAGGGAAGAUGGCAGCCGGCUGGUGUAACGGCCUUGUUGGAGCUUGUGUAAUUUGUUUGAAAGUGGUUGAGGGAUUUUGUUCCCCGAGAUACAACAACGUCAACACAGUUUAUGACCUCAAAUCCAUUGGAAACCCUAUGGGUCCUGUUGGCAUUUGGUGUGAUGCAAUAUACAGAUUUGUACAUUCAGACUUUAGGGCAGUGAUGGCCAACCUAUGACACACGUGUCAGCACUGACACGCCUAGCCAUUUUUGCUGACACGCUGCCGCAUGCAGAUUGAUUGGGUGACUAUGUAUUUUGUGGCCAAAUUUGGUGUGAUUUGGUCCAGUGGUUUUGUUGUUUACUCCAUGGGAAUUAUGCACAUUACAUGUGUGUGUGUGUGUGUGUGUGUGUGUGUGUGUGUGUAUAUAUAUAUAUAUAUAUAUAUAUCAUUCUAUUAUUAUUCUAUUAUUAUUGUAGUAUAUUAUUAUAUUAUUACUAUUAUAUUAUUAUUAUAUUAUUCAUGACUACAUUGAAACUAGAAUAGAGAGAAAUCAGCAUGGAAACUGCAAGAGGUACCAUAGAUUGUUGUACAUGGAAAUAAUUGUAGUAAAUAGUUUUUGAUUUAUUAAAUACAGUCAUAUAUUACAAUUAUAUAUUUUUGUUAUUUAAACUAUAUUUAAAAAAAGGUAAAGGUUUCUCCUGACGUUAAGUCCAGUCAUGUCUGACUUUGGGGGUUGGUGCUCAUCUCCAUUUCUAAGCCAAAGCGUCGGCAUUGUCCAUAGACACCUCCAAGGUCAUGUGGCCGGCAUGACUGCAUGGAGCGCCAUUACCUUAAACUAUAUAUAUUGUGAAAUUAUGUUUUUUUUUCUCGAAGUGAUACACCACCCAAGUCAUGCUAGGGUUUUUGGUGAAUUUUGACACACCAAAUGCAAAAGGUUGCCCAUCAUUGCUUUAGGGUGUUGCCAAAAUAAUAAGGGCAAUCCCAUUGGUCACACUGGAAGUCUAUCAUUUAGUUUCCUGUAGAUGCUCUUGACCAAUAGAAUGAAGCGACCAUCCCACCCCCAAAUUCCCCAGUUGGCCUGGCUAGUGUGAGUUGUAGUCCAUAAGUCAAUCGUCCGAGCUUUGAGCUCUUAGCUAUUUCCUAUGGCAGUCUCAUGUUGUGUGACCAAAGGAUAAGUGUGUUCUUGAACACUCUGGAAUAACAUUCCGCAUAUGCAGUGUUUUAAUAUUUAUUUAUUUAUUUGUUUGCGACAUUUAUAUACCGCCCUUCUCGGCACAGGUAUAGCCACACUGGAUGCUUUUCACAACUUCUGGAUGGAGACUCGUGGCAACUGUAAGAUUGACUCUAGUGGUAGAAGUCUCCAAAAUAAAGGUUGUGCCUCCCCAUGCAUUUUGUUUUGCUGCGUAAGAGUGAUCUGAAGGAAUGACUUACAGCUGUAGCUUAAGGACUCACUUCUAAAUAAUCAUUCAUAGGGACGAGGUAGCUCACAGUUUGAUAUUCUGCUUCUGUUUUGGACUCAGAUGGGCUGGGUUUUUAGAAGCAAAAUUUCUUAUGCCUUCAGUUCCCUUACCUCCAGUGUCGGGAUGCCAGUGAAGUCAGGGCUUAUUUUAUACCAAUGCUUCUCUUAAGUGGUGGUUGCUGGAUUGGUGCCUGUUUUUGAGUCAUUGGUUGUUGGUCUUUGGAAGAAACUGUUGUCGUCAAUGGGUGCAAAUAUGAUAGCAGUGCCUGGCACAUGGGGUGCGGUGCAGGAAUUGCUUGUCCAUCACAUCAGAUAACUUUGAAUGCCCUGUCUUACAGCAUCACAACAAGAAUGGCAAGAAUGUGUGAAUUCAUGCUUAUUUUCAUUUAGUAUUACUAUAUGCUUCAGUGGCCUGUUCUAAGACUUCAACUAGCUCUUCAUAUUUGCAGGUUUGACAUUUACUAAAGAUUAUUCAUGGAUUUGAUUAAACUUUUCUCUAGAAAUCUGUAGAUCCUAUCCAGUGGUCACCUUCCAAUUGAUGUUCUCCAUAGAGUCAUGCUGGGGACCUAGAGAUUCAUGAGAAAUGUUUUCAGAUAUUUUUUUAAAAAAUUAUCAAUUAAAAUUUUUGUGUUUUUUUCAUUUUGUGUGUGAAUGUGGAGGGCUAAUGAUACUCCUUUUUUACUGUCAUUUCACUGUGUUCCUUGGGUUUAAUAUUAGCACUUGGGCAAAACAUUUUGGGCAGGCAGCAUGGAGAGAUUUGCCAAAAAUCUGAGGAGAGAGUAUAACUGAGCAUUAAAAAUGCAUUAGGCCAUGUCAUCGAAGAGACAGUUUGUUUUUCUUUGCGUAUUUAAUCGCUGGGAUUUAAAGGCCUUUUGUUGAGCUGAGACUUCAAAAUUAUCUCACAGCUCUCUAAGCCUCAUAUUAAGGAAAGAAAAAAAUACAUGGCAAAGCCUGAAUCCAGGCUGUUUUUGGGGGCUGGAGCAGAGAAGAACGGCAUUGGAGGAACGUUUGGAAGGAAGAUCCUGACCUUCAGCCGUGAAGCUAUAUUGAGGCUUCAUCAGCCUGAUUCAGAAGGAGCUUGCCUGCAUUCUUUCCUCCCUUGAGCCCAUUCUUUGCACAUUCAAAAUAUGCCAGUGCCAUCAACAGCAUCCCUUGUGAUUCAGACAGUGUGAAACCCGUCCUCUUGCUAUGCUGGCUUCCCAUUCAUGUGGAGCACAAGACGCUGAUGUUUAAUUCUAAACCUUCUCAACACUUUUGUCCCUUCCUCCCCAUUUCUUUGUUUUCUGAUGUAUUCUUCAAAGAACAGAACACUAAAGAAUGCUUAGGAAAUGCUGUCAUUAGCAAGGAAAAAGGGAUUUUUCAAAAGCAUGUUUAUUCCAGACAAAGCCUCCAAGAAUAACCAAUAGGAUUCCAAGCUUGGUGGAUCUGGGGGAUGGCGUAGAUGUAGUGUAUCUUGUUUUCAGCAGAUUUCUUUUUACUGUUUUUUAAUUCAGAAAUAAAACAUACCCUGUUUCCCCGAAAAUAAGACAUCCCCGGAAAAUAAGACCUAGUAGAGGUUUUGCCAACUUACUAAAUAUAAGGCCUCUCCCAAAAGUAAGACCUAGCAAAGUUUUUGUUUGGAAGCAUGCUCGGAGCCUGCCAAACAGAACACCAGAGCAUGCAGAAUUGGUAAAUGUAUAUACCAGUUGUACAUGGAAAUAUUGGUAGUAACAAGAAAUUCUUGAUAGGAUUCACAGUUUGUCUGGUUAUAUUGGUUUGUGAUGACAACUACUGUAUAGUAUAUAAUAAAUGUUCAUUUUUUUGUUGAACAUAAAUGUGAAUUCUUCUUCAUUGAAAAAUAAGACAUCUCCUGAAAAUAAGACCUAGCACAUCUUUGGGAGCAAAAAUUAAUAUAAGACACUGUCAUAUUUUCGGGGAAACACGGUAGUCAAAGAGAGAAAGUAAUACAAAAAUAAUUUUAUAUUGUAUAUUGCUAAAACUAAGCAGCUAUCUUAUUAGCAACUAUUACAACAUACUGCAAAACAUAAUCAAAAGCAAACAUACUAACAUCCAUUGACAAGUACAUACUACAUACACAGAACUACAGAAAAAUAUUCUAUGAACUGCACGGUCACUGUCUGUUGAUUUUACCUCUUAUUAUUUUACUCCUAUUAUUAUUAUUAUUAUUAUUAUUAUUAAUGAUAAUAACAAUAACAACAACAACUACUACUACUACUACUUUAUUUUUAUAUCCCACUAGCAUCUCCCCAAAGGGUCUCGGGGUGGUUUAUAUGGGGACCAAGUCCAGCAUAAACAAAGAUUACAAGCUAAAAUGCAAUUAAAACAUUUGUUGUUGUUUAUUUGUUCAGUCACUUCCAACUCUUCUUGACCUCAUGGACCAGUCCACGCCAGAGCUCCUUGUCGGCCAUCGCUGCCCCCAGUUCCUUCAAGGUCAAGCCAGUCCCUUCAAGGAUACCAUUCAUCUAUCUUGCCCUUGGUCGGCCUCUCUUCCUUUUCCCUUCCAUUUUCCACAGCAUCAUUCUCUUCUCCAAGCUUUCCUGUCUUCUCAUUAUGUGGUCAAAGAACUUUAUCUUUGCCUUUAAUAUCCUUCCCUCCAGUGAGCAGCCGGGCAUUAUUUCCUGGAGGAUGGACUGGUUGGAUCUUCUUGUGGUCCAUGGCACUCUCAGGAUUUUCCUCUAGCACCAGACUUCAAAAGCGUCUCUCUUCCUUCGCUCAGCCUUCCUUAUGGUCCAGCUCUCGCAUCCAUAGGUUACUAUGGGGAAUACCAUGGCUUUGACUAUGCGGACCUUCGUUGCCAGUGUGAUGUCUCUGCUCUUCACUAUUUUGUCAAGAUUGGCCAUUGCUCUCCUCCCAAGAAGUAAAUGUCUUCUGAUUUCCUGGCUGGAGUCUGCAUCUGCAGUGAUCUUCGCACCUAGAAAUACAAAGUCUGUCACUGCCUCCACAUUUCCUCCCUCUAUUUGCCAGUUAUUAAUCCGUCUGAUUGUCAUAAUCUUGGUUUUUUAUGUUUAACUGCAGCCCAGCUUUUGCACUUUCUUCUUUCCCCUUGGUGAUAAGGCUCCUCAGCUCCUCCUCACUUUCGGCCAUCAGAGUGGUAUCAUCUGCAUAUCUAAGGUUGUUAAUGUUUCUUCCAGCAAUUUUAACCCCAGCCUUGGAUUCCUCAAGCCCCACACGUCACAUGAUGUAUUUUUCAUACACUGUUGUACUAUACAAUUAUAUAUGAUGGUAUAUAUAUGGUGGCACUUGAGCAUCUGUGGGUUUUGGUUUUCAUGGAAGAUUUCUGGAACCAAACCUCUGUAGAUACCAAGAGAUAUUCACUGUACAUCAGUUUUUCAUUUUGCAGAAUCUGCCAUACUUUUCUCACCCGAGAUAGCAUGCUGUUGUCCUUAGUUGUUACCCAGGGUUUCAUAAAGUUCUUUUGGCCAAAGACAUGGACCUCAGGCAUCAGAGAUAUUGCAAGAAACAUGGGCAGAUUGAUGAGAUAUCAUCCCACAAUUUAUUCAUCUGCUGAUCUGUCUCUUUGUAUUUAUUUCAUUUCUGUGUUGCCCUUCUCCCAAAGUGGCACUCAAAGUAGCUCCCAGAGAUAAUCAAUUAAAAAUAUUCACAAUAAAAUGUCAAAAAACAAUUAAAAUCACCGGACCUUUGAGAAUCUGUUGUCAAUCAAAUGCCUGACGUUUAGGAAUUUGCUGUCGAAGUAAAACGCAUGCAGCGUGGCAGAUCAGACUGCAUCUGUAAGGGAAUUGUAACUAUUAAAACAGGGGGGCUUGAUAGUGACACUGCAUUAGUUCUAUCAUUGCAUAUCGCUGGCUUUUAUGGCACGAUGAUGGGAAGUUGUGCAGCUAAUGGCUCGCAAGCAGGCCCAAAUGGCCGCUUCAGGCGGCUUGCCAGAUUGCCAUGAAUUUAAGCAGCCAUCAAACAGUCACUUCCCAGUCUGCUGUUUUACCUUCGUGCCUUUGUGGAAAUCCACCCCAUUUUCCCAAUCCAUUCCUCUCCCAUGAGAGACUUUGUGUAGCACUGGAGCCUUGUAUGGGGCCUUGAUUUAGUUGUUUAUUGCUUUAGUGUUUAUAUAGCACAUUCAUGCUUUUGCAGUGCAUUAAAUGUGUUGUCGAAGGCUUUCGUGGCCUGAAUUUUCCGGGCUGUAUGGCCAUGUUCCAGAAACAUUAUUUCCUGAAGUUUCACCCACAUCUCAAAAACAGGCGAAUUCCAGACAAGAAACAAUCAGGGCCAGCUUAUCACCUCCCAACAAAGGAUUCCCCCAGGGAGGAGGCAGCCAGGCUUUGAAGCUGCAAGGCUAUUCAUUGCUAAUCAAGAUGGUCAGUUGCAGCAUUUACAUUUGCCUUCAACAGACAAAGAGUUCUUUCUCCCACCCUGGACAUUAUUGCACAGAUAUAUUAACCCCACUUGCCUAGUUUCCAACAGACCUCAAAACCUCUGAGGAUGCCUGCCAUAGAUGUGGGUGAAACGUCAGGAGAGAAUGCUUCUGGAAUAUGGCCAUACAGCCUGGAAAACUCACAGCAACCCAGUGCAUUAAAUGUCUUCCUCAACUAUCCUUAUGGCCACUGCAGUUCAAAAUUCCUGACUUAGUACAAUGAAAACUGGAAUAGAUCCACAUGUUGCUAGUCCUCAGUUUUUUGCAAGCCCAUCUGUCACCUAUUCUAAGAUCUGAUACUAAAGCAAUGGAGUACAGGUGUACAGGUGGAGUACAGGUGACACUUUCAGGUUUGAUUUUUGCAGAUUUGAUUAAAAUAUUAUCUCUUAAGAAUCUCGCUAAGUCCUCCAGUGCAACUCUGUGAUCUGUGUCCAGCAGCAGUUGACCAUGCUAUGGGACCCAGAGUUUCCUAGAGAUGUUAAAAAUUAAUUAAUUUGUGGUUUUCUGGUUUUCACAGGGGUUCGUACCGUUUUUUCCAGCAAACAUGGAGGGCUGAUUUUAUUGAUUUGGAAUGUAACUGUUCAAUACCACUUCCAUAGCAAAUUACAGUGCUGUGAAACCAAAUGCGCAGUGCAUAUACCUGCAUAGGCACCAAUGAGCAUUCAUAAUUCAAUUCUUUAAGGCUUAAUAAUAAUAUUAUAAUAAUAACUUUAUUCUUAUAUCCCGCCACCAUCUCUCCGAAGGGACUCGGGCCGGCUUACACAGGGACAAGCCCGAACAACAACAUAGCAUAACAUUACAUGCACAGAAUUUAACGGUAAAUUUAAACAUUUCAACAGCAAACAAAAAUGACAUAACAUAACAAUUACUUUAAAAGCCUGAGCUUGCACUGCAUGUGGCUGUUUAUUCUUUGUGGGGAAAAGGAUCCAGCUUCUUUCAUUGGGGAACUUAUUCAUGCGCAGGAUACGGGCCCCUUUUACUCUGCCAUAUAAAAUCUAGAUUAUCUGCUUUGAACUGGAUUAUAUGAGUCUACACUGCCAUAUAAUCCAGUUCAAAGCAGAUAAUGUGGAUUAUAUGCUUUGACAAUCUGGAUUAUAUGGAAGUAUAGAAUGGGCCACGGUAUUCUAGCCCUGUGUCCAGUGUCCACAAGGAGAGAACGCAAAGCUCUUUGCGCUGAAACAUUUCCUUUUGGUGAAAUGCAGGUGGCAUGUUUCCUCACUGAUGCUUUGCAUGGACAUCUGUUCUACAUAGCUUGCAGAGUUGGCUCCAGACUCUCCUCCUUGGCCAAGGAUAGGCAGGCCUUUAAAUCCCCUGCAUAGUUGCUGAAUGAAAGCUGCUGCCAUCAGUGCUCACCAUGGAGGAAUCUGGAUACCUUGAAUAGCAUCAUUCCCGAUGCACAGAUUGCAUGUUCUGUCUCCCAGUCCUUUGUCUUUUCUCCCUUCCGGCACUGGAUGAGCAAAUGGAUGUCUGGUGUGGCUGGUUUGGGGGAUGAAAAGCCCCAAGACAUAUCAUUGGGAUGGCAGCGUGAGGCCGGUGACAAAGCAUGUGCAUUGUUUAGGUAAUUGUGCAGCCCACCUUUGGAUGCUGAAUUGUAAAGUUUGUCUUGGCACACCGGGUGAAAUAGCAGCUCAAGGUUUUUGGAGAAAGAAAAAUCAUUGUUCAGCAUGUCAGGGUUGUCAAAAACCUGGAUGAUUCUCUGUGUAUUCUUAGUCAAGGCUUGGAUCUGAGAAACAACAAACUCCAGACUUGGGACCACAAGCUGGGUUGGAAGAGCGUUCUCGCCUUUGAAUCCAUUGGAAGGAGAACGCCUGAAGAAGAAAACAAAUCUUGGCUCGGAAGCAAUUACCGUGUUUCCCCGAAAAUAAGACAGUGUCUUAUAUUAAUUUUUGUUCCCAUAGAUGCGCUAGGUCUUAUUUUCAGGUGAUGUCUUAUUUUUCUGUGAAGAAAAAUUCACAUUAAUUGUUGAACAAAAAAAUGAACAUUUAUUUUAUACUGUAUAGUAGUUGACAUCACAAACCAGCAUAAACAAACAAUCUGUGAAUCUUAUCAAGAAUUUCUUGCUAUUUCCAUUAUUUCCAUGUACAACACUCUAUGGUAUGUACAUUUAUCGAUCCUGCAUGCUCUGGUGUUCUGUUCGGUGGGCAUGCUUCCAAACAAAAACUUUGCUAGGUCUUACUUUCGGGGGAGGCCUUAUAUUUAGCAAUUCAGCAAAACCUCUACUAGGUCUUAUUUUCUGGAGAUGUCUUAUUUUCAGGAAAAACAGGGUAGGACUCCAGUGGUGCAGUAUGAGCCCUUUGGUGCUCAGAUAUGAUGGACAAAUAUACAAUGGGUGAUACCUGGCUUGAAAACACUUUUUGUGAAGGGGACUUAGGAGUCUUUGUAGACCACAAGCUGAACAACAGUCAGCAGUAUAAUGCGGCAGCUAAAAAGGCCAAUGGGAUUCUAGGGUGCAUCAACAGGAGUAUAGUGUCAAGAUAGAGGAAAAUCAGGUCCUUUCUCUUCUGCUUUGUCCAGGCCUCAUCUGGAAUAACCUUGUGACCAGUUUUUAGUAGAGCAAUUUGAGAAGGAGAGGACAAGAUGGAAGGUGUCCAGAGAAGGGAAAUGAUAGUAUGUUGUCGAAGGCUUUCAUGGCCGGGAUCACAGGGUUGUUGUGUGUUUUCCGGGCUGUAUGGCCAUGUCCUGGAAUAUGGCCUGGAAAACACACAACAACGAAAUGAUAGUACGUAGUCGAAGAUCUGGAAGCCAUGAGUCCCUCUGAGAAGUGAAUGAGGGAGCUGGGGAUGUAAAGCUUGGAGAAACGAAGGUUGGGACGGGACCUGAGAGCCAAGUUUAGAACCAUACAGUUGGAAGAGACCAUAUGGGCAGGAAAAAGCACAAUCAAAGCACCCCUGAAAGAUGGCCAUCCAGCCUCCGUUUAAAAGCCUCCAAAGAAGGAGCCUCCACUGGACUCUCAAGGCAGUGAGUUCUACUGUUGAACAUCUCUUACAAUCAGGAGGUUUUUCCUAAUGUUCAAGUGGAAUUUCCUUUCCGGUAAUUUGAACCCAUGACUCCAUUGAGUCCUAGUCUCCAGGGCAGCAGAAAACAAGCUUGCUCCCCUUUCAUUAUGACAUCCUUUCAAAUGUUGAAACAUGGUGAACAACCUUCUCUACUGCAGGCUAAACAGACCCAACUAUUUAAGCUGCUCCUCAUGCAUUCAUGGCCUUCAGACCUUUGAUCAUUUUAGUUGCCCACCUCUGGGCACCUUCCAGCUUUGCCUCAACUGCUUUCUUUAAUUGUUUGCCCAGAAUUGGACACCGGAUUCCAGGUGAGGUCUGACCAAGGCAGAAGAGUGGGACCCAAUGACUUGCCUUGAUCCAGACGUUAGAUUCCUUUUGAGGCAACCCAAAAUGCCAUUGGCUUUUUUAGCUGCUGCAUCACAUUGUUGGCUCAUGUUUCAUUUGUCGCCCACCAAGACUCCAAGAUCCCUUUCUCAUGUCACACUUUUGUGGAGCCAGGCAUCACCCAUCCUGUAUUUUUGCAUUUCAUUUUUCUUCCUAAGGGUAGCAUCUUACAUUUGUCCUUGUUGAAAUUCAUUUUGUUAGUUUUGUCUAUUCAGCUCUCUAAUCCGAUAUGGUCAUUUUGAAUUCUGAUCCUGUCCUCUGGAGUAUUAACUUUCCCUCUUCAUUUAGUGUCAUCUGCAGACUUGAUUCACAUGCCUUCUAAAUCUUCAUCCAAGUCAUUAAUAAAGAUGCUGAACAGUACUGGGCCCAGGACCGAACCCUGCAGCACUCCACUAGUCACUUCUUUAUUCUAUUUUCACGUCCAUCAGAACCCAUUUUCAUUCAUGAAAAUGAAUCUUAAAGGUUGGAGGCAGGUUUUUUUGCAAGGGGCUUUGAUUGCCCUUGACCCACUCCUCUCUUUCUUGCUUCCAUGGCUGCUGCAGACUAGACUGGAAGCGCCUCAGGGCAGGAACUUGCGCUGUCGCAGAGCAUAAAAACAGCUGUACGUCUUGUUUGUGCUGGUUCCAGGUGUGGUGUGUAUUGUAAGGACUUUCUACAGCAAUUCUACAUCUGAAAUAGAGACAGGGGCCAUCCAGUCAAAUCAAUCCAUAAAAUACAUGCCCAUGUUUUGUGAGGCCAUCCCCAUCAAUCUUAUUUAUCCAGGUGAGCAAAAUGAGGUUGUUAUGGUCCUUGAAACCCUCCAGACUUCUUGGAGUGCAUUUUUCAUGGACAAGAAAAAAAGAGAAUGCAAGAGAGAGAGAGAUAGAAUUGUUUCUCCUGGGAAACUUCGAGCAGCAAUUUGCCUAUUAAUUAAUUUGCAGCUUCCCAUUACUGUUGCAUAUAAAAAUGUUCUCCACCAUUUCUCAAAACCAGAAGUAGUAGACUUCCUUUAAAAAAACCUGGGGAGCCCUGAGUCUAGUUGCCCAUUUCUUUUAUAAAUUACUAGCUGUGCCCGGCCACGCAUUGCUGUGGCGUAGUCUGCUGGUAUGGAAAAUAAAGUAAUGAGAAGCAGCUACAGUUUGAAGCUGCAAGGCUAUUCAUUCCUGUGUAUUUGUUUAGGUUUUUUUGAGUGGAGGUCAUACCUUGGAUGUGUUGGUGUAUUGUGGCCAAAUUCGGUGGCCUUUGAUCCAGUGGGUUUUUUGUUAACUCGGUCCUACAAACGGACAGUACAUUUAUAUAUAUAUAUAUAUACACACACACACACACAUACAUACACACACACAAACACACACACACACAGUAGAGUCUCACUUAUCCAAGCUAAACGGGCCGACAGAAGCUUGGUUAAGCAAAUAUCUUGGAUAAGAAGGAGGGAUUAAGGAAAAGCCUAUUAAACAUGAAAGUUAGGUUAUGAUUUUACAAAUUAAGCACAAAAACAUCAUGUUAUACAACGAAUUUCACAGAAAAAGCAGUUCAGUACGCAGUAAUGUUAUGUUGUAAUUACUGUAUUUACAAAUUUAGCACCAAAAUAUCACAAUCUAUUGAAAACGUUGGCUACAAAAAUGGCUUGGAUAAUCCAGAAGCUUGGAUAAGCGAGGCUUGGAUAAGUGAGACUCUACUGUGUGUGUGUGUGUGUGUGUGUGCAUAUAUAUAUAUACUAGCUGUGCCCGGCCACGCGUUGCUGUAGCGUUGUCUGGUGGUGUUGGUGAGAAAUUGUUGAGGUAGUGGUGGUAUUGAAUGUCUGUUGUAUGGUUGUCCUUAUGUUUAGUAUGCAUUUGGUUGUUUGUGUACUGUGAAAGUGGUGAGGGUAGAGGGGGGUCUAUGUCCCUGUGUAGUAUUGUAUAGUAUUUAUAUGUUGUCCAUGUGUUGUGAAUGCUUGGAUUGUGUCCUGCUGCAUAGUAGAAAGGGUUGGGCUGGAUGGCCCUUAAGGGUCUCUCCAAACUCUUGUGCCUGUCCCCUGGGCUGAGUAGGUUGCUAGGAGACCAAGUGGGUGGAACUUAGCCUUGUAACUGGCAGCAAUUGGAUAAAAACAAUUAUUCCUCUCCCUCUAAUUAGGACUUUAUUUUUCUUUUCUUUUUGUUGUAUCAACCUAGAGCCAUGGAUGAUGGGUUGUGUUGUCAAAUUUCAAGGUUGAGGGGCCUGUAGUUUUGUUGUUUUGUCCGCUGCCCUGAUGCCAUCACUCUUUUAUAUAUAUAGAUACUAGCUGUGCCCGGCCACGCGUUGCUGUGGCGAAGAAUGGUGGUCUGGGAAAUAAAGUAUUGAGGAAUUGGUGGUAGUUAAGGUAAAGGGUAAACGUUUUCCCCUGACGUUAAGUCCAGUCAUGUCUGAUUCUGGGGGUUGGUGCUCAUCUCCAUUUCUAAGCCGAAGAGCCGUCGUUGUCUGUAGACUCCUCCAAGGUCAUGUGGGAUGACUGCAUGGAGCAGCGUUACCUUCCCACCGGAGCAGUACCUAUUGAUGCACUCACAUUUACAUGUUUUUGAACUUCUGGGUUGGCAGAAGCUGGGGCUAACAGUGGGGGCUCUGUCAGUUCCCCCAAUUCAAACCUGCGGCCUUUCGGUCCAGAAGUUCAGCAGCUCAGCGCUUUAACAUGCUGUGCCAUCAGGGGACAUUAUUUCCUAAAGGUUGUGAAUAUACAAUAUUUCUGAUUGUUUUUUUUUUGUCUGUUGGAGGCAAGUAUGAAUGCUGCAAUUAGGAAAAAUGAUUAGGAUGUAAUGGCCUUGCAGAUUUAAAGCCUAGCUGUUUCCUCCCUGAGUGAUUUUUUUGUUGGGAGGUGUUAGCUAGCCCUGAUUGUUUCCUGUCUGGAAUUACCUUGUUUUCAGAGUGGUGUUGUUUGUGAUAUUUUAUAUGCUUCUACUGUCUGUGGCCCUGAGAAAACAGAGGAUUGGCCAGACUUUGAUGAUGGGAAUCCUUUGUUGGGAGAUGUUAGCUGGCCCUGAUUGUUUUCUGUGUGGAAUUCCCCUAUUUUCAGAGUGUUGUUCUUUAUUUAGUGUUCUGAUUUUAGAGAUUGUAUUGUUCUGUUUUAUUAUACCACAUUAAUUUUUAUAUAUUCUGAUUUUAGUGUUUUUGAAUACUUGGAGCCAGAUUGUAUUCAUUUUCACGGUUGACCGCAACACAAUAAUAAUAAUAAUAAUAAUAAUAAUAAUAGUAAGGAUAGUAAUGAUAGUAAUAAUAAUGACUUUGGUAAUACAUAGUGCUUCACUGCCUUCUCAGCUUCCUUUCUGGAAGAAUCCUUUCUUGGGAGGUGUUAGCUGGCCCUGAUUGUUUCCUUUGUGGAAUUUCCAAUUUCCUUGCUUUAUUUACUUUCUUUAUUUCUUUAUUUCUUUAUUACUAUCCUGGUUUUAGAGAUUAUAUUGUUCUGCAUUAUUCUAUCCUAGAAAUUAUUUCAUAUCAAAGUAGAAUCUCACUUAUCCAACAUUCGAUUAUACAAUGUUCUGGAUUAUCCAACACAGUCUGCCUUUUCAUAAUCAAUGUUUUUGUAGUCAGUGUUUCAAAUUCAUUGUGAUAUUUUACUGGUAAAUUUGUAAAUACAGUACAGUAGAGUCUCACUUAUCCAACAUAAGUGGGCUGGCAAAAUGUUGGAUAACCGAAUAUGUUGGAUAAUAAGGAGGCCUUAAGGAAAAGCCUAUUAAAUAUCAAAUUAGGUUAUGAUUUUACAAAUGAAACACCAAAACAUCAUGUUAGACAACAAAUUUGGCAGAAAAAGUAGUUCAAUACGCAGUAAUGCUAUGUAGUAAUUACUGUAUUUAUGAAUUUAGCAAUAUAUCAUGAUAUAUUGAAAACAUUGACUACAAAAAUGCGUUGGAUAAUCCAGAACGUUGGAUAAGCGAGUGUUGGAUAAGUGAGACUCUACUGUAAUUACUACAUAGCAUUACUGCGCAUGGAACUACCUUUUCUGUCAAAUUUGUUGUAUAAUAUGAUGUUUUGAUGCUUAAUUUGUAUAACGAUUACCUAAUUUGAUGUUUAAUCAGCUUUUCCUGAAUCCCUUCUUAUUAUCCAAUAUAUUUACUUAUCCUGCUGGCCUGUUUAUGUUGGAUAAGUGAGAGUCGACUGUAUAUUGAUCAUCUUAUAUUAUCUGCUUAGAACUGGAUUAUAUGAGGCCCCUUCUUCACAGUUGUAUAAAAUGCACACUGAAGUGGAUUAUAUGGACGUGUGGAGUCAAGAUAAUCCAGUGCAAAGCAGAUAAUAUAAGAUUAUAAAUGGGUUAUAUAGCUGUGUGGAAGGGCCUUGAGUCUACACUGCCAUAUAAUCCAGUGCAAAUUAGAUAAUCUGUGGAAGAAGCCUAAGUGAGGCCUAAAUUUGCCUGUCCCCUAACUGAAGCCUGGCUGUUCCUUGGUUGCUAGGCAACGAAGUGGGCAGAGAUUAGCCCUCUAAACUGGCAGCAAUUGGAUAAAAACAAUUAUUGCUCUCCCUCUAAUUAGGACAUUAUUUUUCUUUUCUUUUUGUUGUAUCAACCUAGAGGCGUGGAUGAUGGGUUGUGUUGUCAAAUUUCGAGGUUGGGGGGCCUGUAGUUUUGUUGUUUUGUCCACUGCCCUGAUGCCAUCACUCUUUUAUAUAUAUAGAUAUGGUCUUUUUGGUGGCUGUUCCAAUGGCCCUGGCAUUCCUGCUGGAGGUAGUUGCUUUCCUUCCUUCGUGAAGUAAAUAGCUUUUUAUUUAGGUAUUUGAUGAUGAAUGAAUCAAGCAAAAUAACUUCUAACGGGUUGUGUCUGCUGCAUAUUUGUUUUUAUUGGUAUGCAUUUUAAACAUUUUUAAAAAAAUGGUUCUUUAUUCCCUUGUUUGGAGAAGGGCAGAAUAUAAUUUAGCUGCAUUGAGUCUCUGACUUACAAGAAGCACUGCUUGACUAUCAAGCAAAUAGUGGGCGCUAGAAAUAAUAUCAUACGAAAGCUGACUGACACAACCUGGGGAUAGCAACCAGACACAGGACCUUUUCACACUAAAGCUUGAAUCCACUUUAAAUCCACUUUAGGGAGGAGGCUUUAAACAGCUCAGCCAAACAGGCCCUGGGCCUCACCAAACUACAGACUCCAGAAUUCUGCAGGAGGCAGAAACCGGAUUGGAAGUGCAUUCAUGCUCUAGUGUGAUGAGACAAACAGUGAAGACAUCUGCCUUUGCGCUUUGCUACUCUGCUGCUGAAUACGCAUGCCCAGUGUGGAAUAUAUCUCACAACAUUAAAACAGUGGAUGUGGCUCUUAGUGAGACAUGCCGCAUUUUCACAGGAUGGCUAAGCAUCACAUCAAUACCUCACAUCAAUACCAGGCAAAAUUCUGGAAAAGAUCAUUAAGGAAGUGGUCUGCGAACACUUAGAAACAAAUGCGGUCAUUGCUAAUAGUCAACACGGAUUUACCAAAAACAAGUCAUGCCAGACUAAUCUGAUCUCUUUUUUCGAUAGAGUUACGAGUUGGGUCGAUACAGGGAAUGCUGUGGAUGUAGUGUACCUGGAUUUCAGUAAGGCCUUCGACAAAGUCCCCCACGACCUUCUGGCAAACAAACUAGUAAAAUGUGGGCUAGACAAAACUACGGUGAGGUGGAUCUGUAAUUGGCUAAGCGAACGAACCCAAAGGGUGCUCACCAAUGCGUCGUCUUCAUCAUGGAAAGAAGUGACAAGUGGAGUGCCGCAGGGCUCCGUCCUGGGCCCGGUUCUGUUCAACAUCUUUAUUAACGACUUAGACGAAGGGUUAGAAGGCACGAUCAUCAAGUUUGCAGACGACACAAAACUGGGAGGGAUAGCUAACACUCCAGAAGACAGGAGCAGAAUUCAAAACGAUCUUGACAGACGAGAGAGAUGAUUGGCCGAAACUAACAAAAUGAAGUUCAACAGGGACAAAUGCAAGAUACUUCACUUCGGCAGAAAAAAUGGAAAUCAAAGAUACAGAAUGGGGGACGAUGCCUGGCUUGACAGCAGUGUGUGCGAAAAAGACCUUGGAGUCCUCGUGGACAACAAGUUAAACAUGAGCCAACAAUGUGAUGCGGCAGCUAAAAAAGCCAAUGGGAUUCUGGCCUGCAUCAAUAGGGGUAUAGCGUCUAGAUCCAGGGAAGUCCUGCUCCCCCUCUAUUCUGCCUUGGUCAGACCACACCUGGAAUACUGUGUCCAAUUCUGGGCACCACAGUUGAAGGGAGAUGUUGACAAGCUGGAAAGCGUCCAGAGGAGGGCGACUAAAAUGAUUAAGGGUCUGGAGAACAAGCCCUAUGAGGAGCGGCUUAAAGAGCUGGGCAUGUUUAGCCUGCAGAAGAGAAGGCUGAGAGGAGACAUGAUAGCCAUGUACAAAUACGUGAAGGGAAGUCAUAGGGAAGAGGGAGCAAGCUUGUUUUCUGCUGCCCUGCAGACUAGGACACGGAACAAUGGCUUCAAACUACAGGAAAGGAGAUUCCACCUGAACAUCAGGAAGAACUUCCUCCCUGUGAGAAGGGCUGUUCGACAGUGGAACUCUCUCCCCGGGGCCGUGGUGGAGGCUCCUUCCUUGGAGGCUUUUAAGCAGAGGCUGGAUGGCCAUCUGUCGGGGGUGCUUUGAAUGCGAUUUCCUGCUUCUUAGCAGGGGGUUGGACUAGAUGGCCCAUGUGGUCUCUUGCAACUCUACUAUUCUAUGAUUCUAUGAUUCUAAGCUUUACACCGCUGGAGAAAUUAUACUGUUUAGCCAGUAUUGCACCACCUGACAUCUGUCGGGAAGUAGCCGCCAGCAAUGAAAGGACCAAGGUAUUGACAUCUCCGGACUGUCCAAUGUUUGGAUAUCAUCCAGCAUGCCAAUGCCUUAAAUCAGUGAUGGCCAACCUAUGACACGUGUGUCAGCACUGACACACCUAGCCAUUUUUGCUGACACACUGCCACAUGCAGAUUGAUUGGAUGACUAUGUCUUUUGUGGCCAAAUUUGAUGCGAUUUGGUCCAGUGGUUUUGUUGUUUAGUCCAUGGGAAUUAUGCACAUUACAUUUAUAUAUACAGUAGAGUCUCACUUAUCCAACACUCGCUUAUCCAACGUUCUGGAUUAUCCAACGCAUUUUUGUAGUCAAUGUUUUCAAUACAUCAUGAUAUUUUGGUGAUAAAUUCGUAAAUACAGUAAUUACUACAUAGCAUGACUAUGUAUUGAACUACUUUUUCUGUAAAAUUUGUUGUUAAACAUGAUGUUUUGGUGCUUAAUUUGUAAAAUCAUAACCUAAUUUGAUGUGUAAUAGGCUUUUCCUUAAUCCCUCCUUAUUAUCCAACAUAUUCACUUAUCCAACGUUCUGCCAGCCCAUUUAUGUUGGAUAAGUGAGACUACUGUGUGUGUGUGUGUGUGUGUGUAUAUAUAUAUAUAUAUAUGUAAUGUGCAUAAUUAUAUCAUUCUACUAUUAUUGUAAUAUAUUAUCAUAUUACUAUUAUAUUAUUAUUCAUUAUUCAUGACUACAUUGAAACUAGAAUAGAGAGAAAUCAGCAUGGAAACUGCAAGAGGUACCAUAGAUUGUUGUACAUGGAAAUAAUGGUAGUAAAUAGUUUUUGAUUUAUUAAAUACAGUUAUAUAUUACAAUUAUAUAUAUUUGUUAUUUAAACUAUACAUAUUGAGAAAUUAUGGGGUUUUUUUCUCGAAGUGACAAACCACCCAAGUCAUGCUAGGUUUUUUGGUGAAUUUUGACACACCAAGCGCAAAAGCUUGCCCAUCAUUGCCUUAAAUCAAGAAACAGCUUCCUAAGAUUCUGUCACGGCCCACGCUGCAGAGCACCAAUAACCAUGCGCAGAGACCAGAUUCUAUCUAAUAUCUUUAUUAAAGAAUUAUAUAAAGUCAAUACAAACAAGUGAAGAAUAUAGUUCAGAAGCAGACCUUUCAGGAAAGGCCAAAUAUAGUCCAGGAAAAUAUUGUCCAAUAUAAGAUAUUAGAGUUCAAAGUUAUAAUCCAUUAACCGAAACACACACUUUGCCAAGCAAUAGUGUGGGGAGAUGACAAGGUCUUUUAGUCCAUUGAAGCUUGACAACAAGGCUGGAUCAUGAGCUUGAUUCUUGGCUGGAUCAAAGACUUGAAACGUGGCAACUUGAAGCAUGAAACUAGGUCCGUGGCAAAACGUGAGACAAGGCAAGACUUGAAACUAGAUCCGGGAAGCAGGGAACAAGGAGUACGACGUCCACACACGAUCUCUCUCUCAAGCUGAUCAAUUGACUCCGCAAGGUUCCCCUUGCGGCAAAACCCCUAUAUAGGGUCUUGUUUUCCCGCCAACAGAACACUUUCCCUGGAGAACAAGAAGCGAAACCCAACUCUGUCCAGAUGCAUGACUCCUUAGAAUUUCCCAAGGGAAGCAGACUUAAUCAGCAAGUUGUUUGGCAGCGAUUCUGAGACUCCGGCGAUUAGCCUCCCUGACUCCUCUAUCUCUAUUAUAAUUGUCCUUUCGGGAAAACGGGGGAGAAUUCUGCCCAAAGCUUGUUUGGGUAACUUCCUGAGGACAAACAUCCUCCAGGUGGAGAGGCUCCGUUUCAAACUGAACCGGUGGAAAUCCCAUGUUUUCCUCCUUGUCUGCCUCAAUAGCACUAGGAACGGGACUACAAGGCCCAUGAGACAUCACAGAUUCACAGAGAUACUCGCAGGAACACCUCAGCAAGCGAGAGUCCAAAAGUGGCAGGCUAAAGCCCAGAACCUCAAUCCAUGGCUGAUACCGAAUGAGAAACUCCCUCCUGGGCACACAGAAGGCUGGGUGACUUGGAAGGCGCUCUAGCACCACAAUAUGCAGAGCCAAACUUAAGAAAUGGGGCCACAAAGUGGAGUCCACAACAUGCGAGUGUGGAGAAGAGCAAACCACAGACCACCGACUACAAUGCAGCCUGAGCCCUGUCACAUGGACAGUGGAAGACUUUCUCACAGUGACAUACCUCCAAUUGGCCAGCUUCUGGUCAAAGGAAAUCUAGUAUAAUGCCAAGUUUUUAACUUUGUGUUUUUAAAUACAUUAUACAGCAGAGUCUCACUUAUCCAAGCUAAACGGGCUGGCAGAAGCUUGGAUAAGUGAAUAUCUUGGAUAAUAAGGAGAGAUUAAGGAAAAGCCUAUUAAACAUCAAAUUAAGUUAUGAUUUUACAAAUUAAGCACCAAAACAUCAUGUUUAACAACAAAUUUGAUAGAAAAAGUAGUUUAAUACGCAGUAAUGUUAUGUUGUAAUUACUGUAUUUACGAAUUUAGCACCAAAAUAUUAUGAUAUAUUGAAAACAUUGACUACAAAAAUGGCUUGGAUAAUCCAGAGGCUUGGAUAAGCGAGGCUUGGAUAAGUGAGACUCUACUGUAACUGUAUUCUCAAUUGGCUUCUGUUGUGAUACAUUAAUAGUCUCAUUUUAGGGAGAAAAGGGAGGAUAUAGAUACCACAAUUCUUCAAGCAAUGUUAAAUGCCUCUGUGUCUGUCUAUACUGUAUAUUGUUUGUCUGUUGGCAUUGAAUGUUUGCCAUAUAUGUGUUCAUUGUAAUCCGCCCUGAGUCCCCUUCGGGGUGAGAAAGAAGGGCGGAAUAUAAAUACUGUAAAUAAAUAAAUAAAUUCAUGGCUCUGCAGC